UACAGAGACUGCGAGCGUUAUUCGGAUUCACUGGGCGUAAAGGGUGCGCAGGCGGCCAGGUGUGUGGGGCGUGAAAGCCCGGGGCUCAACCCCGGAAUUGCACCUCAAACUACAUGGCUAGAGUACUGGAGAGGGAGACGGAAUUCACGGUGUAGCAGUGAAAUGCGUAGAUAUCGUGAGGAACACCAGAGGCGAAGGCGAGUCCCUGGACGAUACCUGACACUGAGGCACGAAAGCUAGGGGAGCAAACAGG
rnacentral:rRNA from 1 species